AUUGUCGUGGUGUAGUGGUUAACACCCCCGACUUAUACUUUAUGAGAGACCCAGGUUCGAUGCCUGGCAGCUGUU